AACGAACGCUGGCGGCGCGUCUUAAGCAUGCAAGUCGAACGGCAAGAGAGGAGCUUGCUUCUCUCCUAGAGUGGCGGACUGGUGAGGAACACGUGGGUAAUCUACCCUUAAGAUGGGGAUAGCUGCUAGAAAUAGCAGGUAAUACCGAAUACACUCGGCAUAUCACAAGAGGUGUUGAGGAAAGGAAGCUACGGCUUCGCUUGAGGAUGAGCUUGCGUCCCAUUAGCUAGUUGGUGAGGUAAAGGCCCACCAAGGCGACGAUGGGUAUCCGGCCUGAGAGGGUGAACGGACACAUUGGGGCUGAGAUACGGCCCAAACUCCUACGGGAGGCAGCAGCUAAGAAUAUUCCGCAAUGGACGGAAGUCUGACGGAGCGACGCCGCGUGGAUGAAGAAGGCUGAAAAGUUGUAAAAUCCUUUUGUUGAUGAAGAAUAAGGGUGAGAGGGAAUGCUCAUCUGAUGACGGUAAUCGACGAAUAAGCCCCGGCUAAUUACGUG
rnacentral:rRNA from 1 species